rnacentral:rRNA from 1 species
UACAGAGGUCUCAACCGUUGUUCGGAUUCAUUGGGCGUAAAGGGUGCGUAGGCGGUCGGGUAAGUCGGAUGUGAAAUCCCAGGGCUCAACCCUGGAACUGCAUUCGAUACUGCCUGGCUAGGGUACUGGAGAGGAGACUGGAAUUACGGUGUAGCGGUGAAAUGCGUAGAUAUCGUAAGGAAGACCAGUGGCGAAGGCGGCGUUCUGGACUGCUACUGGCACUGGAGGAACGAAAGCCAGGGGAGCAAAGCGGG